rnacentral:rRNA from 1 species
AGGUGAAGUUUGCAGCUCAACUGUAAAAUUGCCUUUGAACUGGUAGUCUUGAAUUAUUAUGAAGUGGUUAGAAUAAGUAGUGUAGCGGUGAAAUGCAUAGAUAUUACUUAGAAUACCAAUUGCGAAGGCAGAUCACUAAUAAUAUAUUGACGCUGAGGGACGAAAGCGUGGGGAGCGAACAGGAUUAGAUACCCUGGUAGUCCACGCCGUAAACGAUGGAUACUAGCUGUUCGGAUUUAUCUGAGUGGCUAAGCGAAAGUGAUAAGUAUCCCACCUGGGGAGUACGUUCGCAAGAAUG